AACUAUGCUGCAUUUCGCAGGACACAAGGUGCAGGCUAUGGUCCUUUCUUCUAUCUCCCUAAAAUGGAGCACUCAAGGUAUAAGUCUUUUUUACUUCUCCUGAAAAAGAGAAAUUCAAAUAAUAAGUUUAAGCAAUUUUGUUAUUUAAUAUUGCAGGGAAGCUAAGAUAUGGAACUGUGUGUUUGAGAGAGCUGAGAAGAUGGCAGGAAUAGAAAGAGGAAGUAUUAGAGCUACUGUUCUAAUUGAAACACUUCCAGCUGUUUUUCAAAUGAAUGAAAUCCUCUAUGAAUUAAGAGAUCACUCUGUUGGCUUGAAUUGUGGAAGAUGGGAUUAUAUUUUCAGCUAUGUCAAGACAUUCCAGGCUCACCUGGAUCGCCUGUUACCCGAUAGGGUUCAAGUUGGCAUGACCCAACAUUUCAUGAAGAGUUACUCUGAUCUCCUCAUUUGGACAUGCCACAGGCGUGGUGUGCAUGCCAUGGGUGGCAUGGUAUGUUCAAUUUAUCUUCUAAAAUCAUAUUCAACAUGAAAAAGAGAGCUCAUUCUUAAUUUUGUAACAGGCAGCACAAAUUCCAAUUAGAGAUGAUAAAGAAGCAAAUGAAGCAGCACUAGAAUUGGUAAGAAAGGACAAGCUAAGAGAGGUUAAAGCAGGGCAUGAUGGAACAUGGGCAGCACACCCAGGACUUAUCCCAGCAUGCAUGGAAGUAUUCACAAACAACAUGGGAAAUGCUCCAAACCAAAUUCAAGCCAAGAAAAGAGAAGAUGCUGCAAAUAUAACAGAGGAAGACCUAUUACAAAGGCCUCGAGGAGUUCGAACAAUGGAAGGUCUUCGCCUAAACACUAGAGUUGGAAUCCAGUACUUAGCAGCCUGGCUUACUGGAACAGGCUCAGUGCCUCUUUACAAUCUUAUGGAAGAUGCUGCCACUGCUGAAAUUAGCAGGGUCCAAAAUUGGCAAUGGAUUAAGUAUGGAGUGGAGUUGGAU
rnacentral:lncRNA from 1 species